UGAUGCAACCAUGCCGCGUGAGUGAUGACGGCUUUCGGGUUGUAAAACUCUUUUAGUAGGGAAGAUAAUGACGGUACCUACAGAAAAAGCACCGGCAAACUUCGUGCCAGCAGCCGCGGUAAUACGAGGGGUGCUAGCGUUGUUCGGAAUCACUGGGCGUAAAGGGUACGCAGGCGGUACAGCAAGUCGAUUGUGAAAGCCCCAGGCUCAACCUGGGAAUUGCGGUCGAAACUGCUGAACUAGAGUAUAGUCGGGGAUGGUGGAAUUCCUAGUGUAGGGGUGAAAUCCGUAUAUAUUAGGAGGAAUACCGGUGGCGAAGGCGACCAUCUAGGCUAUUACUGACGCUGAGGUACGAAAGCGUGGGGAGCAAACAGGAUUAAAUACCCUGGUAGUCCACGCAGUAAACGAUGAGUGCUAGUUGUCGGGGUCUUAAACUUCGGUGGUGAAGCUAACGCGUUAAGCACUCCGCCUGGGGACUACGGCCGCAAGGCUAAAACU
rnacentral:rRNA from 1 species